rnacentral:ncRNA from 2 species
GCUAAACUGAAAAAGAUGGCUUAUAUAAGUUCAAAAUCGGUUGAACGUUUCUACCAACUACCUCAAUAGUUGACUAUAAGUGAUAGUUUACUGUAU